rnacentral:rRNA from 1 species
GGGAUUGCCUCAGUAACGGCGAGUGAAGCGGCAAAAGCUCAAAUUUUAAAGCUGGCAUCUUCGGUGUCCGCGUUGUAAUUUUGUGAGGCAUCUCCGGGUAGGGCGCCGGCCUAAGUUCCUUGGAACAGGACGUCACAGAGGGUGAGAAUCCCGUGCUUGGCUGGCUGUCCCCGUCCAUGUGAGGUGUCUUCGACGAGUCGAGUUGUUUGGGAAUGCAGCUCAAAAUGGGUGGUAAAUUUCAUCUAAAGCUAAAUAUUGGUGGGAGACCGAUAGCGCACAAGUAGAGUGAUCGAAAGAUGAAAAGCACUUUGAAAAUAGAGUUAAAAAGUACGUGAAAUUGUUGAAAGGGAAGCGCUUGAGACCAGACUUCGGUAGGGGGUGAUCAGCCGUGCUUCGGUGCGGUGCACUUGUUCCUCUCUGGGCCAGCAUCGGUUGAGGCGGCGGGAUAAAGGUCCCGGGAAUGUGGCUCCUUCACGGGAGUGUUAUAGCCCGGGUGAAUGCCGCCAGCUUCGACCGAGGACCGCGCCCGCAAGGGUUAGGAUGCUUGGCAUAAUGGUCUUCAGCGACCCGUCUUGAAACACGGACCAAGGAGUCUAACAUCUAUGCGAGUGUUUGGGUGUCAAACCCUUGCGCGAAAUAAAAGUGAACGGAGGUGGGAACCCGCAAGGGCGCACCAUCGACCGGUCCUGAAGUCUUCUGAAGGAUCUGAGUAGGAGCAUAGCUGUUGGGACCCGAAAGAUGGUGAACUAUGCCUGAAUAGGGUGAAGCCAGAGGAAACUCUGGUGGAGGCUCGCAGCGGUUCUGACGUGCAAAUCGAUCGUCAAAUUUGGGUAUAGGGGCGAAAGACUAAUCGAACCAUCUAGUAGCUGGUUCCUGCCGAAUCCC